AGAGUUUGAUCCUGGCUCAGGAUGAACGCUGGCGGCGUGCUUAACACAUGCAAGUCGAACGGUGAAGCCAAGCUUGCUUGGUGGAUCAGUGGCGAACGGGUGAGUAACACGUGAGCAACCUGCCCUGGACUCUGGGAUAAGCGCUGGAAACGGCGUCUAAUACUGGAUAUGAGCUCUCAUCGCAUGGUGGGGGUUGGAAAGAUUUUUCGGUCUGGGAUGGGCUCGCGGCCUAUCAGCUUGUUGGUGAGGUAAUGGCUCACCAAGGCGUCGACGGGUAGCCGGCCUGAGAGGGUGACCGGCCACACUGGGACUGAGACACGGCCCAGACUCCUACGGGAGGCAGCAGUGGGGAAUAUUGCACAAUGGGCGGAAGCCUGAUGCAGCAACGCCGCGUGAGGGAUGACGGCCUUCGGGUUGUAAACCUCUUUUAGCAGGGAAGAAGCGAGAGUGACGGUACCUGCAG
rnacentral:rRNA from 1 species